UCCCUGGUGGUUCAGACUGUAAGGAAUCUGCCCACAAUGCAGAAGACCCAGGUUCGAUUCCUGGUUCGGGAA
rnacentral:tRNA from 1 species